rnacentral:rRNA from 1 species
UACGGAGGGUGCAAGCGUUGUCCGGAUUUAUUGGGUUUAAAGGGUGCGUAGGCGGUCUUUUAAGUCAGUGGUGAAAGCCAACAGCUCAACUGUUGAACUGCCAUUGAUACUGGGAGACUUGAGUACAGACGAGGUAGGCGGAAUUGACGGUGUAGCGGUGAAAUGCAUAGAUAUCGUCAAGAACACCGAUUGCGAAGGCAGCUUACUAGACUGUAACUGACGCUGAGGCACGAAAGCGUGGGGAUCAAACAGG